AAGUCGUAACAAGGUUUCCGUAGGUGAACCUGCGGAAGGAUCAUUACAAUACGUUACUUCACGUAUCAACCCAACUGUUGAACUGUUUUAAAGCGUCCGAUAGGAAAGAGAUGGGUUAUGAGGAAUCGAUGGCUUUGGAAGCUACGCGCUUCGGUCGGUUUCUUUUUUCUGGUUCUUUGUGACCAGAAGCCCUUUUUUCCUAGUUCGCGUAUUUUAUUCAAUCAUUUUUUUACCCCUUUCACCAAACUAUUAUUUUAAACAACUGUUGAACUUAUGUGAUUGCUGAAAAGCGAUCUCUUUAUUUCUUUACGAAACGUAAGAACAACUCUUAACAACGGAUAUCUUGGCUCUC
rnacentral:misc_RNA from 1 species